UCGCUCUCUCUCUUUCUCUGUAGCGACCUCCUUGCUCUUCUCCAGCGGUGAAGACGUCGGUGAUGCUGUUUGGACGAGGAGGCAGGCCAGGCUUCUCUCUCUCCUCCCCAAUUUUAACGAGAAAGCUCCCCUUCUGUUUCUCUGCUGCUCUAAUUUGAGCACCACCGCCUUCACGUCGUUGUCUCCGCCUCCGAUUCCGGCGACCACCGGCACGACGCUAUCAGACCUUGCACCGCCAUCUUCAUCUUCGAUUUUCCAGAAAAUAAAGGUGAUCAAAAAAUUACAAACCGGACGAAAACGUUGGGAAGUCUGCGGCUGCAGUCCGAUCGCUAUUUGAUGAUCGGGAUCGGAGGGGUGAAAGGAGAAUCGCAACGAUGAUAAAGUUUCACGGCAAGGCGAGGCAGCCCAGGCAUCGAUGACAUCGUCUAGGGCUCAGUUGUCGACUCCUUCGCUCAUUCUUUCAUUCUCCACUAAUGCUCGCCGGAUUUCAUUCUCGGCCGCUUUCGAUGGAUGGCAACAGUACUAAUAACGACUGUGGAUGGCAGAAGGUGACCUAUGCAACGGGCCAGAGGAAGAACAAGGUCACGGAUUCCAUCAACAAUCCUAAUAGGCUCAUUCCGGCGCUGUGAUCUCCGGCGGAGCGUGUUUUCCGAGGUGUGGAGAAUGAGGUGGAGGAGCGAGUUCGGAGGCGGUAGGAAGCUGAUAAGGCGGAGACGGUAUUUUUGAUUUUUCCAUCAUUUUACAAUUGAAUUCUUCCCCUUUGCAUUUGUAGAGUAGAUUUCGAAAAUCAUAUGAAUUUGGAUAUUGAAGCCUCCAUUGACCAAGAGAUCAUUCAGCUAACUAAGAAAUGUUGACAUGAAGUCUCGUGCUGAAGGUGGCAAAAUUAUGUCUAUGGGUUUAGAGUGUCAGCAUUGAAAAAUGACAGUAGCAUUACAACAUUGACAGUAGCUUUAUUCAACUAUUGUAAUAAAUUUUCAUAACUAUGGUAGUGACUUUUUACAAUUAUGAAAGUAGUUUUUUACAUAAUUAUAUCAUUGUUGAACCCUGUAUACUUUUUGUUUCAUCUAAUAUGUUUUAUUUUCUCGA